rnacentral:sRNA from 1 species
GACUCUAUAGCCUUGACUUACCAGUUUUCCCACCUCAUUUCGCAUACCCACAUCCACCGUUUCUUUAUCACAGUUUUUCUGGGUGAUACAUGCUAUCAUGGGCCAACACCAGAUUCCUCUCAGGAACCAUGUUCCAGAUUCCUCGGAUAUCGAGUCAGACAGUGAUAGCAAUCCGCCGAUCGGGAAGGGAAACAACUCCAUUGAUGUGAUAUCGAGGACAAUGAAAGCCCUAGUGAAGAAGAUCCAAGACCUUCGCCAUCUGGGGAUUGAAAACCAUAAACUUCCCCUCCCAAAAAUCUGUGUUGUGGG